rnacentral:rRNA from 1 species
UACGAAGGGGGCUAGCGUUGCUCGGAAUCACUGGGCGUAAAGCGCACGUAGGCGGAUUGUUAAGUCGGGGGUGAAAUCCUGGAGCUCAACUCCAGAACUGCCUUCGAUACUGACGAUCUCGAGUCCGGGAGAGGUGAGUGGAACUCCGAGUGUAGAGGUGAAAUUCGUAGAUAUUCGCAAGAACACCAGUGGCGAAGGCGGCUCACUGGCCCGAUACUGACGCUGAGGCACGAAAGCGUGGGGAGCAAACAGG